GGCCGUAGCAGAGAGCUGGAUUGGAAAUGGAGCAGCUGGGACUCGAACUUGCAUCCAUAUGGGAUGCCAACACCGCAGGCAGCGGCUUUACCAGGUUAUGCUCAUGACUCCUGGGGCCACAGCUAGUGCAGGAGUUUUGCGGUAUUGAUGAUACAGGAGACACAUGCCUUUUAAGAAAGGAGGAAGAACUUCAGUUGUACACCGUUUUCCGAUGUGGGGAAUGGAUGAAGAGUUUGAACAGGCUGAGUUUGAAAUACUGGAUCUAGGAUUCCUUACAGAGUGUGUGACUGGCCAGAGGUCCUGACACCUUUAAGACUCAAGUGGAAACACAGCAUCUACUAUCUAUGGAAGGUUUCUUGUGAAGAUGAAAUAAUACUGGUUAUGACACAGGAACAUGUGAGGUCCUAAUAUUACAUUCGUUAGACAUGUGUCAUUUCUUUCAGGCCCUCUGCAGAUUACUUAUGUAACUUGAUAAUACUUUGCCUGUCUGACGAAUGCCUCUCUGUCACAGACAGGCACUUGAUGUACUUUGGUCAGCAAAAAGUGAGUGAGUGGACUUAAUGAGUAUGAUGCUGAACCGGGACUUUGACCACCUGUUGGGCCCCACUCUCUUCUCUUUGCUUCUCUCUGAAGACAGCCAUGGAAAACCAUAUGGGGCUGCUCAUU